rnacentral:rRNA from 1 species
AGUUUUAGUUAUGAUCUUUAAACCCAAAGAAUUUGGCGGUACCUUAUUCCAUUCAGAGGAACCUAUCCCGUAAUUGAUAAUACACGAUUGACUUUACUUAAUUUAUUUGUUUGUAUAUCUCCGUUAUCAGAAAAUCUUAUUGGAGUUAUAAUUUUCUUAAUUUAUAAUUUUAAAAUAUUUCAGGUCAAGGUGCAGCUUAUAAUUAAGAGGAGGUGGGUUACAAUAGAUUUUUGUUUAUUACGUAUUUAUUAAUGAAAUACUUUUAAUGAAGGUGGAUUUGAUAGUAAUUUAAUUUAUUUAAUUUAAUUGAUAUUGGCUCUGAGGUGUGU